CUGGCUGGCAAAUCCUGAGCUUCACUCCAGGUGGUCACAAUCUGACCCUUGUGACCUCAUGCUUCCCCACCCCCAUUUGUGAAGUUCCAUCACAGGAAGUUCUUCUCCAGUGGCCCCUGAUCCAGGGAGACCCACCCUGCAACAGCCCUUGUCUCCCUCCGCCCUUGGUUCCUUCUCACCCAUCUCACCACCAUCUGCCCAGGGGAGCCACAUGUCCCAAAUUUUGGAGAGAAAAUAAUUGAGGCUCAUUUCCAGGACAGAGGGGCAAGCUGGGUCUAAAGAGCCAAGCAGAAAGGCUUCCCAAAAUCGCUAGGUUGGGAGGGGUCAGAGACGUGUGGCUGCCCCAGCUGUUCUGACUCUGCCCCAGCUUUUGGCUCCACCCCCUUAAAGCACCUUCAGAGGUUCCCAUGGCGACAGUAAACAAGUCUCCACUGCCUUGGCCAUGUGCUGUGUUCACCCCACUCCUGAUCUUGUUGGCUGCUCAGGGGCUGACAGCCCAGAUGUGCAGCUGUGAUGAGCAGAAACAGGGAGGAAUGGAGCCCCCAGUAAGUCAUGUAUCCGUUAAAAGAAUAUCUGGAAACCUCCAAAAGGAAGCCAAGCAUAGACUAUUUGGAAGAACUUGAAGGAGCGAGAGCUGACCCCAUCUUUGUACACUGGCAGCACAAGGACAACAAUCAACACGGAAGACUUCUGUGACCAAAUGUGUGCACGUUUCUCUCCAUACACCAAGCAAGCAAUCUAUUCUGCAGCAGACACCAACUGGAAGUCCUCCAAUUCAAUUCAAUUCUGACACUGUCUACCUGGAAAUGGCCUCAGCAACCACAGGUUGAGAGCUCAGUCCCACAAGAACACCUCCUCCUUCCAACCAGUUGAAACUCCACACCUCCAGAACUUCUCACUGACUGGCUUCGAGUUGAGGUUUCCACAGUCCUCUGUUUGAGUUUGAUUAAUUUGCUAGAGAAGUUCACAGAACACAAGGAAACACUUACUUAUGUUGAUCAAUUUAUCACAAAGGAUGUUUUAAAGGAUCCAAAUGGGGGCCAGGCACAGUGGCUCAUGCCUGUAAUCCCAGCACUUUGGGAGGCUGAGGCAGGCGGAUCAUGAGGUCA
rnacentral:lncRNA from 1 species